rnacentral:lncRNA from 1 species
UAGCCUCUGCCCGCGAUUCCGCAUUUGCGGACAAUUCGUCGCAUCUGCGACUACUGCUUUUGCGGAAAAACAUCGCAUCUGCGAAAAAUGGCCUUGCCCAGCAACCCCCGCACCUGCUGUAUCAAACUCCGCAUCUGCGAAGACACUCGCACCUGCGUUUCCACUCGACGCACUUGCGCCCUUUUCUCCCCUUCUGCGGGCCUCCUCAUCCAGCUCUCAUCUCGCAUCUGCGACGCCUUUGUCGCUUCUGCGGCCAUCGCACCUGCGCAAACUAACCGCAGGUGCGAUCAUACCAGAACCAGCAGCCUUCAGCAAUGCAACAUGAAGUGAAAAUGAUCCGAACCUCGUCCAAAACUCAUCCGAGCCACUCGGGACCCCGUCCGAAUAUACCAACAAGUUCCAUAACGCAAUACGGACCUACUCAAGGCCUCAAAACACACAUAACAACAUAAAAACGGCGAAUCACACCUCAAAUCGAAAUCUAUGAAUUUCGAACUUUCAAAUUCAAUAACUCGUGCCGAAACAUAGCAAAUCAAUCCGGAAUGACUUCAAAUUUUGCACACAAGUCACAUUCGACAUUACGGACCUGCUCCAACUUCCUAAAUCGGAAUCCGACCCCGAUAUCAAAAAGUCCACUCCCGGUCAAACUUUGCAAAAUUUCAACUUCCGCCAUUUCGAGCCAAAUUCAACCACGAACCUCCAAAUCACAAUCCGGACGUGUUCCUAAGUUUAAAAUCACCCAACGGAGCUAACAAAACCAUCAAAAUUCCAAUCCGCUAGCUUCGGCCAUGACUUCACAAUCCACAACUAUGAAACAAUCUGCUCCUGAAAGCUCCCGGUUUCCAAAUCCAUAAAACACACGAAUCACCAUUUCUGAUUCCAUCUCCACCGCCCAAAUGUCUAACACAUCUCUCAUACACGAUCAUCCCACGAGGAAUACUUCUAAAAUUCUUCCGUGCCAUCUAGCAAAAUUUGAACAUCAGCAGUCAAUCAACCAGGAGAGUGCCGCAAUACCAAUGAAGUAUCCAUAAAUCAAACACAUUGCCCUUUCUGAAAUGUAUACUAUCAUCAGGCCAUACCGAUUAGUAAUAUCAGUUACCUAGUCAUCUGAAACCGUCCAUGCUGCCUACAAAUCUAUGCCCUUCCCUUCCAAACUGACUUGUGACCUUGCACAUGCAAAUCUCAAUCCCACACAACACCGCAUCUACCAUGCCAUCCUGUGAAGAGUACAGGAGUCUCAUAAUCAACUCUGAGUUCCAAGCAGAAUACAUACCCGAUAAGUCAGAAACCUUCCAUUUGAUUUCAUCUGGGAGAAAUUCACUAUACACCACAUGCUCCUCACGCCAGCAGGAAAUAUACCCCUCGAACCUUGGUAAAAACCAUUGAGAACUCUUCGAAACCCAUUUGCACGUAACCAAGCUAUCUGAACCGAAUCUCUCUAACUCAACCCAGCCACGCAGGUUGCCAAAACCCAAGAGCAUUGCCACGAAACACCUGUAGAGACUAGCCACGUCAUAAGAUCCAAAGAACCGAUUAUAUCCAUUACUGUGCUGAUCCAACCUACUACCACGCAGUCCUAUUUCUCAAAGUCCCUUCCAAAUUGCCUUCAAAUUGAUACUUCUCCUUGCUGGAACACUACGAUCCUUAACCAAAAUUCACCACACAAGAGACCCUAGUAUAAAACCACAACGCCUAAGGCCCAUAAGCCGCUGACUUCCUCUUAAGCACCCCAAGGCACCACAACCGAGACACCCACUCUAAAGAGACCUUAUGUGAACCUCAAACUGUUUCCUUCACCUUCUUGAUAAUGAAAUGCACAAUCCACAAUGAUAUAAAAUGCCACAAGUCUCGACACCAUCCAAUGCAACUCCCAGUUUCUAGCCAUAUACAAAUCUUGAAAAUUCCAAAUCACUACAUAUAAAUUUUAAAUCCACUAGAACCAUUCUCGAGAGUCAUCCACUAUACUCAAAUCUUAAUUAAACUGACCAAACGGACCGAACGACCUGUGCCCCAUUAGCACACCAACACCCAAGGGAGUAAAGAAUAACCCACACUCCUAAGCAACUGAGCAAAUUCCUACUCCAUGUACACUACAUCCUUCGCGAAUAACCACUCAAUUAUUUUGUGAUUCUCAUAUACCUAUAGAGUGUAAUACAACCUGUAUCCAGAAAUUCCUUUACCCGAGUCAUCCUCGAUCUCGACCUCUGCAAGUCAUAACUGAUUCACCAGUAUACCCCAAACCGAAACCAAUACAACACAUAACCGUGCAAUCAACUCGUCGAUAGCAGACUCCCCCACUUGGCUCAAAGCCAUGGAAUAAAACAUCUGACUACUUACAAUAACCA